GCCAGUCCAGCUGGACAAUGGCAAUGGAAAUCUGGUUUAGUUUUGAGCCUGGUUUUGAUUUGGGGCGCUGGAAGCCAUGAGAAUGCCAAGAAAACUUUGAUGCUGCUGACUGCCUUGGAUGACAGCAAAUCUCCUACAUCCUGACCAUGGAAAUGCCUCCCUCCCAGCAGCUGCAGGCUUAAACAAAGAGAGUCCAGCAUUUCCAUUUGAUCCCUACUUAAAGCUGCAGAUCUGUCAGCACAGGCACUCAUUGUGUGUACAAAUAUGACAGCUGAGCAAAGCCACAGGCUACCAACUAAUCAUCCAAGAUCUCCAAACAUUCCCAGGUCAGACGAGCUGACUGCUGCGUGAGGAGCAUCUGGGUCCUGUGAAGGAGCAGUGAGUGACCCAUACCUUCCCUAUUUCACCCUGCUGCUCCUGCCUCUGAGAUCGCCCAUUUCCACAGGCUCCACUGGCAAAAGCAAUGUAUUCAGAGCCAAGACACCAGGCUUGUCCCUGACCUGUCCCAGGAGCUCACCUGAAUCAUGCCAGUGUUUUCGUCUCUGUCUCUUCAUCUGGAGAUGGAAAUAAUGUGUCCACAUAGGAAUGUCAUGAA